AAUAAGUCUAAGUUCUAAACAUGUAUUAACUAUUACUUAAACCAAAAGAAACUAUUUAAUAAAAUUUAAUUAAUAAAAAAAUAAGUAAUAAUUAAUUAAUUUUUAAUUUAAUGUAAUUAAAAAGAUUAAAAAACAAAUUGUUUAUUUAAAAAAAAAGAAAAUAAAAACAACAAAACAAACAUAAUGGACUUAGCUUGAAACAAAUGAAGCAAAAGGCCAAAUUUGUGGGCACUUUAAGAAAAUUUUACCCUAUACCCC
rnacentral:lncRNA from 1 species